AGGUCCUCAAUUUACACAACAAAUAUAUGUCCAGUGGAUUAUCUCUGAUAAACAGCUCCUAUGUUAAAACUUUCUAAUCGAGGGGCGGGAUUCUGCCAGCCGCGGCUGCUGCCGCUGGAGCCGGUGUCCGGGCUGGUGAUGGGGUUAAUUCCCUUUCGUAAGACUCUUACUUGCACCCACCCAGCCCCGCCGUCGCCCCGCCAUGCCGCGCUCAGCCGCCUCCUCCUCAGUAACGCGGGGCACUGAAAGUUAUGAUAUAUUUGAUCCAAGACAGUCCAUUCCAGUCCAGGAAUCUACAGUGGUGACAAGGACAUGGGACUCCUCCUGCCAGAUUACAGAUGGUACAAUACAAUUGACAUCCUGGCUGACAACUGUGGAAAGGAACCUUGGAUUAUUUUAUUUUAUUUUUGUGGAACCCCACAAACCCAAAUCCAUAGGACACAUCAGGCUUCAUUCUAAAAUAACCUUUGCUGAUGAGGAUGUCUGAUACUGUUACUAUAAAAGAUGAAACUGAAACAAUGAAGGAUUUGGAGGCAGAAAUGAAAGAUACAACCGGAGUUGAAAAUAUUAUCAAAUCAGAAAACUAUGGAAAGAUUUUGGCAGAGAAGAAUGACCGUUGUAUUGACAACAAUAUUGAUUUGCAGGAGAAAAUUCAGAUCCCAUUAACACAAUCAUUUGAAAAAGAGGAGAAGCCCUCAAAAGAUGAAGCGGAAAAAGAAAAAGCCAGUGAUAAGUUGCCCAGAAAAAUGUUAUCAAGAGAUUCCAGUCAAGAAUACACUAAUUCAACUGGCAUAGAUCUACAUGAAUUUUUAGUAAAUACAUUAAAAAACAAUCCCAGGGACAGAAUGAUGCUGCUGAAAUUGGAACAAGAAAUUUUAGAUUUCAUUGGUAAUAAUGAGUCUCUACGUAAAAAAUUCCCCCCAAUGACAUCAUACCAUAGGAUGCUGUUACAUAGAGUAGCUGCUUACUUUGGAUUAGACCACAAUGUUGAUCAGAGUGGGAAGUCUGUCAUAGUAAACAAAACUAGCAAUACAAGAAUACCUGAUCAGAAAUUUAAUGAACAUAUUAAGGAUGAUAAAGGUGAAGACUUUCAGAAACGGUAUAUCCUCAAGAGAGAUAACUCUAGCUUUGACAAAGAUGACACCCAGAUGAGAAUACGUUUGAAAGAUGACAGAAGAAGCAAAUCUAUAGAAGAAAGAGAAGAAGAGUACCAGAGAGCUAGAGACCGGAUAUUUUCCCAAGAUUCCCUGUGUUCCCAAGAGAAUUAUAUUAUUGACAAAAGAAUCCAAGAUGAGGAUGCUAGUAGUACCCAGCAGAGGCGCCAGAUAUUCAGAGUUAAUAAAGAUGCUUCAGGAAGAUCAACAAAUAGCCAUCAAAGCAGCACUGAGAAUGAGUUGAAGUAUUCAGAACCACGACCCUGGAGCAGCACAGAUUCAGACAGCUCUCUCCGAAACCUAAAACCUGCCGUAACCAAAGCCAGCAGCUUCAGUGGAAUCUCAGUCCUGACAAGAGGUGAUAGUUCUGGAAGCAGCAAAAGCAUAGGCAGGCUUUCAAAAACAGGUUCUGAGUCUUCUGGUAGUGUAGGGUCAUCUACAGGCUCUCUUUCUCACAUCCAGCAGCCUCUUCCAGGUACAGCUCUCAGCCAGUCUUCUCAUGGCGCACCUGUCGUCUAUCCAACUGUCAGCACUCAUAGUUCUCUUUCCUUUGAUGGUGGCCUAAAUGGGCAAGUUGCAUCUCCUAGCACUAGCUUCUUUUUGCUUCCCUUGGAAGCGGCAGGCAUACCACCUGGCAGUAUUCUGAUCAACCCACAAACAGGUCAGCCCUUCAUAAACCCAGAUGGGAGUCCAGUUGUGUAUAAUCCUCCUAUGACUCAACAACCAGUUAGACCCCAAGUGCCUGGACCUCCACAGCCACCUCUGCCACCCCCACCAACUCAACAACCAGCAGCUAAUCACAUUUUCUCACAGGAUAACCUUGGGUCUCAGUUUAGCCACAUGAGUCUUGCCCGCCAGCCAUCCACUGAUGGUUCUGACCCUCACGCCACCAUGUUCCAGUCCACUGUUGUUCUUCAGUCUCCACAGCAAUCUGGUUUUAUCAUGACAGCAGCCCCUCCACCACAUCCUCCGCGCCCGCCACACCACCACCCUCCUCCUCCCCUACCACCUGGGCAGCCAGUCCCUACUGCUGGCUAUUCUGCCUCUGGUCAUCCUGUCAGCCAGCCUGUGCUCCAGCAGCAGGGAUAUAUUCAGCAGCCAUCACCACAGAUGCCAGCCUGUUAUUGCGCUCCAGGCCACUAUCACUCCAAUCAACCUCAGUAUCGCCCAGUCCCUUCUGUCCAUUACAAUUCACAUCUAAACCAACCACUGCCACAACCUGCACAGCAGACAGGUUAUCAAGUUAUGCCCAACCAGCAGCAAAACUACCAAGGAAUAGUUGGAGUUCAGCAACCCCAGAGUCAGAACCUAGUCAGUGGCCAACCCAACAGCAUUGGAAAUCAGAUUCAAGGAGUAGUCAUCCCCUAUCCCACAGUGCCAUCAUAUCAGGUUUCACUGCCUCAAGGUUCUCAAGGAAUUGCCCAUCAGACUUAUCAACAGCCUGUUAUGUUCCCGAAUCAGUCUAAUCAAGGAUCUAUGCCACAGCAGCAUGCCCUUUACUAUAGUGUCAUUCCACCUGGCCACCAAAAUAAUUUAAGCUCUUCAGUCAGUUACUUGCAGCACCCAGGAUCAGAACAAGUACAGUUUCCUCGGACUACUUCACCAUGCAGUUCCCAACAGCUUCAAGGCCACCAGUGUGCAGCUGUGCCACCACCACCACCUGGUGGAGGAAUGGUGAUGAUGCAGCUCAAUGUACCAAACAAUCCACAAUCUCGUGCUCACUCACCCCCCCAGUGGAAACAAAACAAAUAUUACUGUGAUCACCAGAGAGGACAGAAGUGUGUGGAAUUUAGCAAUGUAGACAAUAUUGUCCAGCACAGCUCUCAACUCAGUAGCCCCAUUAUCUCACCAGCUCAGUCGCCGGCACCAGUUCAGCUGUCUACCCUGAAAACUGGACGUCCCUCUGGACCACCACUUUCUAUCAUGCCCCAAUUUUCUAGACCUUUUGUCCCUGGGCAAGGAGAUACCAGGUAUCCAUUACUUGGGCAACCACUGCAGUACAACUCUCCUGCUGUUCUGCACGGACACAUUCCAAACCAACAGAGUCAGCCUGGCAGCAGACAUGGAAACCGAGGAAGAAGACAAGCUAAAAAAGCUGCAUCCACGGACCUUGGAGCAGGAGAAGCAGUUGUUGGGAAGGUCUUGGAAAUAACUGAACUACCAGAUGGAAUAACUCGCAUGGAAGCCGAGAAGCUUUUUGGGGAACUCUUUAAAAUUGGCGCCAAGAUCCGG